AGAGUUUGAUCCUGGCUCAGAAUGAACGCUGCGGCAUGGAUUAGGCAUGCAAGUCGAACGAGAAUCUCAAGCUUGCUUGAGAGGAAAGUGGCGAAAGGGUGAGUAACGCGUGAGUAACCUACCCCAAGGUCGGGGAUAGCCCCGGGAAACCGGGAUUAAUACCUGAUGUGGCGAUCCGAUGAUGUCGGAUCUGCUAAAGAUUUAUCGUCUUGGGAUGGGCUCGCGUCCGAUUAGCUUGUUGGUGAGGUAACGGCUCACCAAGGCUACGACCGGUAGGUGGUCUGAGAGGACGAUCACCCACACUGGGACUGAGACACUGCCCAGACUCCUACGGGAGGCUGCAGUCGAGAAUCUUCCGCAAUGCGCGAAAGCGUGACGGAGCGAUGCCGCGUGAAGGACGAAGGCUUUCGGGUCGUAAACUUCUGUCACCCGGGAUGAAUUUUGACAGUACCGGGAGAGGAAGCCACGGCUAACUACGUGCCAGCAGCCGCGGUAAUACGUAGGUGGCGAGCGUUAUUCGGAUUUAUUGGGCGUAAAGGGUUCGUAGGGGGUUUGUCAAGUCUGGUGUGAAAUUCCAGGGCUCAACCUUGGACGUGCACUGGAAACUGGCAGACUUGAGGGCUGGAGAGGAAAGAAAAUUCCUGGUGUAGCGGUGGAAUGCGUAGAUAUCAGGAAGAACACCGACGGCGAAGGCAGCUUUCUGGACAGUACCUGACCCUGAUGGACGAAAGCCGGGGGAGCGAACAGGAUUAGAUACCCUGGUAGUCCCGGCCGUAAACGUUGUGCACUCGGUGUGGGGGGAUUUGGUCCCUUCCGUGCCCAAGCUAACGCGUUAAGUGCACCGCCUGGGGAGUACGGCGGCAACGCUAAAACUCAAAGGAAUUGACGGGGGCCCGCACAAGCGGUGGAGCAUGUGGCUUAAUUCGAGGCCACGCGAAGAACCUUACCUGGGUUUGACAUAUACCUGACCGCCCUGGAAACAGGGUUUCUCUUCGGAGCAGGUAUACAGAUGCUGCAUGGCUGUCGUCAGCUCGUGUCGUGAGAUGUUCGGUUAAGUCCGGCAACGAGCGCAACCCGUAUCGUCAGUUGCCAACAGGUAAUGCUGGGGACUCUGGCGAGACUGCCCGUGUCAAGCGGGAGGAAGGCGCGGAUGACGUCAAGUCCGUAUGGCUCUUACAUCCAGGGCUGCACACGUGCUACAAUGGUCGGUACAAUGGGCUGCGAAACCGCGAGGUGGAGCUAAUCCCCAAAGCCGGCCCCAGUUCGGAUUGGAGUCUGCAACCCGACUCCAUGAAGUCGGAAUCGCUAGUAAAGGCGUACCAGCAACGGCGCCUUGAAUACGUUCCCGGGCCUUGUACACACUGCCCGUCACAUCAUGGAAGCUGGCUGCACCCGAAGUCGCUGACCUAACCCUCACGGGAAGGAGGCGCCGAAGGUGUGACUGGUGACUGGGAUGAAGUCGUAACAAGGUA
rnacentral:rRNA from 1 species